GACGAACGCUGGCGGCGUGCUUAACACAUGCAAGUCGAACGGAAAGGCCCUGCUUUUGUUGGGUGCUCGAGUGGCGAACGGGUGAGUAACACGUGAGUAACCUGUCCUUGACUUUGGGAUAACUUCAGGAAACUGGGGCUAAUACCGGAUAGGAGCUCCUGCUGCAUAGUGGUGGUUGGAAAGUUUCGGCGGUUGGGGAUGGACUCGCGGCUUAUCAGCUUGUUGGUGGGGUAGUGGCUUACCAAGGCUUUGACGGGUAGCCGGCCUGAGAGGGUGACCGGCCACAUUGGGACUGAGAUACGGCCCAGACUGCUACGGGAGGCAGCAGUGGGGAAUAUUGCACAAUGGGCGGAAGCCUGAUGCAGCAACGUCGCGUGCGGGAUGACGGCCUUCGGGGUGUAAACCGCUUUCGCCUGUGACGAAGCGUGAGUGACGGUAAUGGGUAAAGAAGCAACGGCUAACUACGUG
rnacentral:rRNA from 1 species